rnacentral:rRNA from 1 species
UUCGUAGGUGGUGCGGCAAGUUGGGAGUGAAAUCUCUGGGCUUAACUCAGAGGCUGCUUUCAAAACUGCCGUGCUCGAGUGCGAGAGAGGCCAGUGGAAUUGCAGGUGUAGCGGUGAAAUGCGUAGAUAUCUGCAGGAACACCCGUGGCGAAGGCGGCUGGCUGGAUCGCAACUGACACUGAGGAACGAAAGCUAGGGGAGCAAACAGGAUUAGAUACCCUGGUAGUCCUAGCCCUAAACCAUCAGAACUUGGGGUGGCUCACGUAGGCGGGUCGUCCCGUAGCUAACGCGUUAAGUUCUGCGCCUGGGGAGUACGGUCGCAAGACUGAA